rnacentral:rRNA from 1 species
AACGAACGCUGGCGGCAGGCUUAACACAUGCAAGUCGAGCGGGCCCUUCGGGGUCAGCGGCAGACGGGUGAGUAACACGUGGGAACGUACCUUUUGGUUCGGAACAACUCCGGGAAACUGGAGCUAAUACCGGAUAAGCCCUUGGGGGGAAAGAUUUAUCGCCAAAAGAUCGGCCCGCGUCUGAUUAGCUAGUUGGUGGGGUAACGGCCCACCAAGGCGACGAUCAGUAGCUGGUCUGAGAGGAUGAUCAGCCACACUGGGACUGAGACACGGCCCAGACUCCUACGGGAGGCAGCAGUGGGGAAUAUUGGACAAUGGGCGCAAGCCUGAUCCAGCCAUGCCGCGUGAGUGAUGAAGGCCUUAGGGUUGUAAAGCUCUUUUGUCCGGGAAGAUAAUGACUGUACCGGAAGAAUAAGCCCCGGCUAACUUCGUG